ensembl:lncRNA
GUUUUAUUAACAUGGAACAAAUAGGCUUACAUUUACGUUGCAAAACCACACAAAAGUACAAAUCUGAUAAAGAAUUAAAUUGUAAAUUUGUCAAAAUACAAUACAAAAACCAUCUAAAAUACAGCAGAAAUCUAUUGCAGGCCUAUAUAUUCCUGAGUGCUGGAUAUGAUCCACAGUAACAAUAAAUGAGAAUGGAAAUUGAUCAAAUUCUGGGCGUAAGAUACACUGUUCACACACGGUUCCCAGGCCCUGCUAGUCCACUUCAGACCCACCACCUCCUCCCCUCCCUAAAGAACCUCCCUCCAGGAAGUCCUUUCACAACGCACUCAUCGUCAUCCACAGAGCCGUAGUCUUCAUCCUGUCCUCCGGGGGCAGAAAGCAGAAGGAGGGGCAGACGUGUGGCGUAAUCCUUGAGGUUACGAGUCGGUGAUUGAGCGGAACUGGCCCAGGAGUUGGAGUGGGGGGUAAUCCCUGAGGUGAAGGGUCCUACCCUGGGGGGUAAUCCCUGAGGUGGAAGGUCCUACCCUGGGGGGUAAUCCCUGAGGUGAAGGGGUCCUACCCUAGGGGGUAAUCCCUGAGGUGAAGGGUCCAACCCUGGGGGGUAAUCCCUGAGGUGAUGGGUCCUACCCUGGGGGGUAAUCCCUGAGGUGAAGGGUCCUACCUUGGGGGUAAUCCCUGAGGUGGAGGGUCCUACCUUGGGGGUAAUCCCUGAGGUGGAGGGUCCUACCCUAGGGGGUAAUCCCUGAGGUGGAGGGUCCAACCGUGGGGGGGAUUCCCUGAGGUGAAGGGUCCAACCCUGGGGGGUAAUCCCUGAGGUGAUGGGUCCUACCCUGGGGGGUAAUCCCAGAGGUGAGGGUCCUACCCUGGGGGGUAAUCCCUGAGGUGAAGGGUCCUACCCUGGGGGGUAAUCCCUGAGGUGAAGGGUCCUACCCUUGGGGGUAAUCCCUGAGGUGAAGGGUCCAACCCUAGGGGGUAAUCCCUGAGGUGAUGGGUCCUACCCUGGGGGUAAUCCCAGAGGUGAUGGGUCCUACCCUGGGGGUAAUCCCAGAG